rnacentral:sRNA from 19 species
UAACAUUUGCGGUGAAAUGCACUUUGGAUUCUUUUGAGUACCUAGUGUAUGAGAAGGUUGGAUAAAGACCACUUUGUUAAGCCGGGGCGAUGUUUUUCUGAAUGACCGCAGUUCAAAAUCGCCCCGGUUUCACAAU